AUGUAUAAAGAGAUAGUUCUUUUGUUACUUCUUUCAGGUAAUGUCUCCACACAGGAACUAUCUUCGAAUAAAGCAUACAUUUUUCUACCUCUAACUUCACAAAAACUUGCCAGGCAUCAAAGAAAUGAGGGACUACCUGUUACAGAAGACCCAGGGUAUAUCUCCACAACUGCAAUUUCACAAAAACCCACAAGGCGACAAAGGGUAGAAGAACUGCCUGUUACCGAAGACCCAGGAGAUGUUUCCAUCAAGGAGACAUCUACCCAUAAAACAUACACAUUCUUACCUGUUACUUCAUAAAAACUCACAAAGCAUCAAAGAAGAAAGGAACCACCUAGUACAGAAAACCUGGAGACUGUGAGAACAAGAGAAGGUUCGAACAAUAUCAUAAAAUGAUGGCCAUUUAAGCGACAUUGAUUAAUCCCCUUUGAGGAGAGAACAAAGGAGUAAUGUAGCCUCAUGGAAUUCCUGAAAGGUCUAUGAGAGGGUCAAAGACUCAGUGGGAUGGAAAGAGGCACAGUAUAUUAUCUAAGGAUACCAGAAUAGCAACUAUUUCUCUUUCAUCAAUAAUCCCAGGAUUCAGAAUUUCUCAUGGUUCAACAGUGAGAUUUCUUCUACCAGACUUAGAGUGAGCUGAACUGGGUUCCAAUGCCACAACUCAUAAUUUUUUUCAGAUUUGUUGUGCCUUUUUUUAAUGUUGAGUUGGACUUAAGACCUUGUUUAGGGAAACAGAACCCAUAGUGGAGUCUGUAAGAGAACUACCAUUUCCACCUUCUUGGGAAAUCACCUCACCUUGCAAAAAGAAGUUGAUCUCUUGUCACUGAAGUAUUGUUGCUCUCUCUCUCUGGGGUAAAACUAGAUACAAUGGGUGGAAGCUGUGAAGAAAUAAAUUUGGACUUUUUAGAAUCA
rnacentral:lncRNA from 1 species